rnacentral:miRNA from 1 species
UUCGUUGUUUAUGAAUGAGAGA